rnacentral:sRNA from 1 species
UGUUGCAACAACCCCGUGGAUUGGGUGGCGAGGCCAGGGAAGGGCCGGAGCCACAGUGAACCCACUGCAACA